UGUGGCUGAGGGAGAGGAAAUGGAGGCAAGAUGUAAAGAAAUUUAGGGUUUCUGACUCAAUAUGGUAAAGCAAGAUCAAUUAUAUAUAUAUUUCCUCUUUUCUUAGAAUCGGUUGAAUGAGGUGAUCUGGAGUGAUGGAGGAGAGGUGCAGAUGAAGUUAUUAAUUCAAGUGUGGAUAUAGUGGUCUCUAUUGUGAGGAGGAUUAGUGUGGUUAGAGUAUAAGCGGUUGGGUGAGAGUAUAGGAUGAACAGAAGUUAUGUAGGCUAGGGUAAUGUCAUAGAAUCCAAGUAGAAGAGGCGAAUUGAGUGUUUUAAAGCGAGGAAGGGUCGUGGCAUAUUCAAUGUGCUUGUGUGGCCAUUACAGGGCGAGUGUGACAGUGUGAACGAGCGGUUUAAUGUGGCGUCUAGUAUGUGUGUGUGUGGCAGAUACUGGCCGAGGAUUGUAGGGAUUAAGUAGGUGAAUUUAUGUGAUUUGGUGUGUGUGUGAGUGUGUGUGGCUCUAGAAGAGUCGUGAUGCGGUCGGUGUAUAUGUGUGGCCAUUAUAGGGCAAGUGUGAUAGUGUGAGUGAGCGUUCCAGUGUGGCAUCUGGUGUGUGCGUGUGUGACAGAGACUAGCUGAGCAUGGUAGGGAUUGAGUAGGUGAGCUUAUGUGAUCUAGUGGGUGUGUAAGUGUGUGUGGCCUCUAUAGCUGUGGUUGCAGGUUGGGUGAUGGAUAUGCGGAAGGCCUUCACUAGCUGAGAGUUAUGUGGAAAGAAGCCAUAUCGUACGGUACUUCUUGUGUAAGGGCGGCCUGUACAGGCCGUUGGUUGUAGUUGAGAUGAAGGUGGAUUAGGUGUAUGUGUGUCUAUCUAGGUCGGGUGUAGCCGGCGUUGAUGUGGACUAGGGUGUUGGUAUGUGUGGUCUUUACAAGCCAUUAUCCCAGGUUGGACAUGGAUAAUUGGUUAGUUGGAUAUGUGUGUGUGGCCUUUCUAGGCCAGGCAUUGCCGAUGUUGGUAUGGGAUAGGGUGUGUAUGUGUGAUUUUUAUAGGUCGUUGCCCCAGGGUUAUUAAGGGAUAAUUAACUGAGUGAUGUGUGUAGGUGGCCAUUCUAAGUUGGAAGAGUGGGAAUGUGUGCGUGUGUGGUCGGUAAAGACUGAUUGGUUCCGAUACUGAGGUUGAGUAAUGGACAUAGGCGAACUGUAAAUGUCUGUGUAGGCCUUCAGGAUCGUAGCUACAAGCGUGGGGUCUCGAAGUAUUUCAGUGUUAGUAGGACUAAGCAGUAGCUGCAAUUGAGUGGAUAUAGGGAACAAAGUUAUGAGGAAAUGGCCAUCUUAGGGUAGAGAUGAGAGAGUAGAUAGGUGGAAGUGAGGGUCUAAGUGAGGAGUGUUGGGGUGGGAAGUUUCUUAGUUUCUAUACUGUUAGUCUUAAUUUCUACAUUUUUUUAUUGGGCCUAUUGAUGCUCAUUACUAUUGUUUUCAGAUGUACUAGAUUUAAAGUCGAAAUCAGAAUGCAUAGGGAUGGAGCCCCACACUUAAGGAAGGGACGAACGCUAGUAUAAGAUGCUCGUUUGAUAUACAUGAGUGCACACAUUUUAUCAACAUUGAGAUUAUAGUUGUUGUAACAUUGAACUAUACGAAUUAACCAUGUACUCUUUAAAUAUUUAAUUGAAAAAAGGUGAUUGUUAUUUUUGUAGAAUGUAAUGAUAUAAAUUUGUUGCAUGAUGGAGGAUGUUCUUGAAUUGGAAUGAUAGGUGGUGGUAAUGCCCC
rnacentral:lncRNA from 1 species